rnacentral:rRNA from 1 species
UUGAACGCUGGCGGCAGGCCUAACACAUGCCAGUCGAGCGGAUGAAGGGAGCUUGCUCCUGGAUUCAGCGGCGGACGGGUGAGUAAUGCCUAGGAAUCUGCCUGGUAGUGGGGGAUAACGUCCGGAAACGGGCGCUAAUACCGCAUACGUCCUGAGGGAGAAAGUGGGGGUUCUUCGGACCUCACGCUAUCAGAUGAGCCUAGGUCGGAUUAGCUAGUUGGUGGGGUAAAGGCCUACCAAGGCGACGAUCCGUAACUGGUCUGAGAGGAUGAUCAGUCACACUGGAACUGAGACACGGUCCAGACUCCUACGGGAGGCAGCAGUGGGGAAUAUUGGACAAUGGGCGAAAGCCUGAUCCAGCCAUGCCGCGUGUGUGAAGAAGGUCUUCGGAUUGUAAAGCACUUUAAGUUGGGAGGAAGGGCAGUAAGUUAAUACCUUGCUGUUUUGACGUUACCAACAGAAUAAGCACCGGCUAACUUCGUG